UGAAAGCCCGGGGCUCAACCUCGGAACCGCAUUUGAAACUGGCAGGCUAGAGUCUUGUAGAGGGGGGUAGAAUUUCAGGUGUAGCGGUGAAAUGCGUAGAGAUCUGAAGGAAUACCAGUGGCGAAGGCGGCCCCCUGGACAAAGACUGACGCUCAGAUGCGAAAGCGUGGGUAGCAAACAGGAUUAGAUACCCUGGUAGUCCACGCCGUAAACGCUGUCUACUUGGAGGUUGAGGUUUAGACUUUGGCUUUCGGCGCUAACGCAUUAAGUAGACCGCCUGGGGAGUACGGCCGCAAGGUUAAAACUCAAAUGAAUUGACGGGGGCCCGCACAAGCGGUGGAGCAUGUGGUUUAAUUCGAUGCAACGCGAAGAACCUUACCUACUCUUGACAUCCAGAGAACUUUCCAGAGAUGGAUUGGUGCCUUCGGGAACUCUGAGACAGGUGCUGCAUGGCUGUCGUCAGCUCGUGUUGUGAAAUGUUGGGUUAAGUCCCGCAACGAGCGCAACCCUUAUCCUUGUUUGCCAGCACGUAAAGGUGGGAACUCCAGGGAGACUGCCGGUGAUAAACCGGAGGAAGGUGGGGACGACGUCAAGUCAUCAUGGCCCUUACGAGUAGGGCUACACACGUGCUACAAUGGCAGAUACAGAGGGCAGCGAAGCUGCGAAGUGGAGCGAAUCCCUUAAAGUUUGUCGUAGUCCGGAUUGGAGUCUGCAACUCGACUCCAUGAAGUCGGAAUCGCUA
rnacentral:rRNA from 1 species